AGACCCGAAACCCGGUGAUCUAGCCAUGGGCAGGUUGAAGGUUGGGUAACACUAACUGGAGGACCGAACCGACUAAUGUUGAAAAAUUAGCGGAUGACCUGUGGCUGGGGGUGAAAGGCCAAUCAAACCGGGAGAUAGCUGGUUCUCCCCGAAAGCUAUUUAGGUAGCGCCUCGUGAAUUCAUCUCCGGGGGUAGAGCACUGUUUCGGCUAGGGGGCCAUCCCGGCUUACCAACCCGAUGCAAACUGCGAAUACCGGAGAAUGUUAUCACGGGAGACACACGGCGGGUGCUAACGUCCGUCGUGAAGAGGGAAAC
rnacentral:rRNA from 1 species